rnacentral:rRNA from 1 species
GACAGAGGCCUCAAGCGUUAGGCGGAAUCACUGGGCUUAAAGCGUGUGUAGGCGGAUCGUUAAGUGUCUUGUGAAAUCCCACGGCUCACCCGUGGAACUGCUGGGCAUACUGGCGAUCUUGGGCCAACUAGGGGCAACUGGAACAAGCGGUGGAGCGGUGAAAUGCGUAGAUAUCGCUUGGAACGCCAAAGGUGAAAACAGGAUUGCUGGGGUUGUGCCGACGCUGAGACACGAAAGCCAGGGGAGCAAACGGG